rnacentral:rRNA from 1 species
AAAUGCUUUGGGGAGCUGUAAGUAAGCGACGAUCCAGAGAUGUCCGAAUGGGGGAACCCACUAGCUAAUGGCUAGUACUCCUAUCUGUUAAGGAUAGGUAGAGGAAGACGCAGUGAACUGAAACAUCUAAGUAGCUGCAGGAAGAGAAAGCAAAAGCGAUUGCCUGAGUAGCGGCGAGCGAAACGGCAGGAGGGCAAACCGAAGAGUUUACUCUUCGGGGUUGUAGGACUGCAACGUGGACUUAAAGACUAUAGAAGAACUACCUGGGAAGGUAGGCCAAAGAGAGUAAUAGCCUCGUAUUCGAAAUAGUCUUUAUACCUAGCAGUAUCCUGAGUACGGCGAGACACGAGAAAUCUCGUCGGAAUCUGGGAGGACCAUCUCCCAACCCUAAAUACUCUCUAGUGACCGAUAGUGAACCAGUACCGUGAGGGAAAGGUGAAAAGCACCCCGGGAGGGGAGUGAAAUAGAACCUGAAACCGUGUGCCUACAACAAGUUCGAGCCCGUUAAUGGGUGAGAGCGUGCCUUUUGUAGAAUGAACCGGCGAGUUACGAUAUGAUGCGAGGUUAAGUUGAAGAGACGGAGCCGUAGGGAAACCGAGUCUGAAUAGGGCGUCUUAGUAUUAUGUCGUAGACCCGAAACCAUGUGACCUACCCAUGAGCAGGUUGAAGGUGAGGUAAAACUCACUGGAGGACCGAACCAGGGCACGUUGAAAAGUGCUUGGAUGACUUGUGGGUAGCGGAGAAAUUCCAAACGAACUUGGAGAUAGCUGGUUCUCUCCGAAAUAGCUUUAGGGCUAGCGUCGACAUUAAGAUUCUUGGAGGUAGAGCACUGUUUGGGUGAGGGGUCCAUCCCGGAUUACCAAUCUCAGAUAAACUCCGAAUGCCAAUGAAUUAUGGUCGGCAGUCAGACUGCGAGUGCUAAGAUCCGUAGUCGAAAGGGAAACAGCCCAGACCACCAGCUAAGGUCCCAAAAUAAUUGUUAAGUGGAAAAGGAUGUGGGGUUGCACAGACAACUAGGAUGUUAGCUUAGAAGCAGCUAUUCAUUCAAAGAGUGCGUAAUAGCUCACUAGUCGAGUGACCCUGCGCCGAAAAUGUACCGGGGCUAAAACAAUUUACCGAAGCUGUGGAUACCUUUAUAGGUAUGGUAGGAGAGCGUUCUAUGUGUGGAGAAGGUGUACCGUGAGGAGCGCUGGAACGCAUAGAAGUGAGAAUGCCGGUAUGAGUAGCGAAAGACAGGUGAGAAUCCUGUCCACCGUAAGACUAAGGUUUCCAGGGGAAGGCUCGUCCGCCCUGGGUUAGUCGGGACCUAAGGAGAGACCGAAAGGUGUAUCCGAUGGACAACAGGUUGAUAUUCCUGUACUAGAGUAUGUAGUGAAGGAGGGACGCAGUAGGCUAACUAAAGCGUGCGACUGGAAGUGCACGUCUAAGCAGUGAGGUGUGAAUUGAGUUAAAUGCUUAAUUCUAUAACAUUGAGCUGUGAUGGGGAGCGAAGUUUAGUAGCGAAGUUAGUGACGUCACACUGCCAAGAAAAGCUUCUAGCGUUAAUCAUACUCUACCCGUACCGCAAACCGACACAGGUAGUCGAGGCGAGUAUCCUCAGGUGAGCGAGAGAACUCUCGUUAAGGAACUCGGCAAAAUGACCCCGUAACUUCGGGAGAAGGGGUGCUGGCUUUCAGUCAGCCGCAGUGAAUAGGCCCAAGCAACUGUUUAUCAAAAACACAGCUCUCUGCUAAAUCGUAAGAUGAUGUAUAGGGGGUGACGCCUGCCCGGUGCUGGAAGGUUAAGAGGAGUGCUUAGCGUAAGCGAAGGUAUGAAUUGAAGCCCCAGUAAACGGCGGCCGUAACUAUAACGGUCCUAAGGUAGCGAAAUUCCUUGUCGGGUAAGUUCCGACCCGCACGAAAGGCGUAAUGAUUUGGGCACUGUCUCAACGAGAGACUCGGUGAAAUUUUAGUACCUGUGAAGAUGCAGGUUACCCGCGACAGGACGGAAAGACCCCAUGGAGCUUUACUGCAGUUUGAUAUUGAGUGUCUGUGCCACAUGUACAGGAUAGGUAGGAGCCAUUGAGAUCGGG